rnacentral:tRNA from 1 species
GGUUUAGUGGUCUCACACACGAGUCUCGAAUUAGUCCGAGAGGCGGGUUCAAAUCCCGCCUGAACCA